UACAGAGGGUGCGAGCGUUAAUCGGAAUUACUGGGCGUAAAGCGCACGUAGGUGGCGACGUAAGUCGGGUGUGAAAUCCCUGGGCUCAACCUGGGAACGGCAUUCGAGACUGUGUUGCUGGAGUACGGAAGAGGAGGGCGGAAUUCCCGGUGUAGCGGUGAAAUGCGUAGAUAUCGGGAGGAACAUCAGUGGCGAAGGGCGGCCCUCUGGUCCAGUACUGGACACUCA
rnacentral:rRNA from 1 species